AACUUGGUCAUUUAGAGGAAGUUAAAGUCGUAACAAGGUUUCCGUAGGUGUACCUGCGGAAGGAUCAUUAUUGAAUGAAUGUAGAGUUGGUUGUCGCUGGCCCUUUCGGGGGCAUGUGCACGCCUUCUCUCUCAUCCACACACACCUGUGCACUUGUGAGACGGAGGACUUUAAUUAGUUUUCCGUCUACUUAAUUACACAAACUCAUUUAAUUAAAUUGAAUGUAAUUGAUGUAACGCAUCAUUAGAACUAAGUUUCAACAACGGAUCUCUUGGCUCUCGCAUCGAUGAAGAACGCAGCGAAAUGCGAUAAGUAAUGUGAAUUGCAGAAUUCAGUGAAUCAUCGAAUCCUUGAACGCACCUUGCGCUCCUUGGUAUUCCGAGGAGCAUGCCCGUUUGAGUGUCUUGAAACCAUCGCCCCGCGGAUUCGCGUCCGGACGGGGACGGACUUGGGGGUUGCUGCCGCGAGGCGGCUCCCCUUAAAUGCAUCGGUCGUGGCCCGUUGGCCAGCGUCCCUGGCGUUGUAUCACCCUCGCCUCUGGAUUUUGGCCCAGUGCCCGACUCUGACCUGCCUGUGGAGCGGCGGUCGAAACCUUUCGAGUUCUGACCUCAAAUCGGGUAGGACUACCCGCUGAACUUAAGCAUAUCAAUAAGCGGAGGAAAAGAAACUAACAAGGAUUCCCCUAGUAAC
rnacentral:rRNA from 1 species